rnacentral:rRNA from 1 species
AAAGAAAGCGUAAUAGCUCACUGGUCGAGUCGGCCUGCGCGGAAGAUGUAACGGGGCUAAACCAUGCACCGAAGCUGCGGCAGCGACGCUGAUGCGUUGUUGGGUAGGGGAGCGUUCUGUAAGCCUGUGAAGGUGUGUCGUGAGGCAUGCUGGAGGUAUCAGAAGUGCGAAUGCUGACAUAAGUAACGAUAAAGCGGGUGAAAAGCCCGCUCGCCGGAAGACCAAGGGUUCCUGUCCAACGUUAAUCGGGGCAGGGUGAGUCGACCCCUAAGG